UAUAAGGCCUUGGUAAAUAAGGCCACCCAUAAAAACAAAAAGAUGUUG
rfam:Ophiophagus hannah scaffold30740.1, whole genome shotgun sequence.